UUAAUGGAUCAGUAUUACAUGCCUUGUAGUUUCUUUUCUAUUGAUAAUUCCAUCAAGGCUGUUUCAUCCCUCAAGAUUUACAAGAAAGUACUAAGAAUAACAAUGUUGAAGAACGGUUUGGAAGCUGUUUUUAGCAAAAUCUUGUAUUGCUCAAUAAAUUUGGAGUUAUCUUCAAAAUAUCAAUAGAGGACCAGUGCAGACCAGUGUACACGACAUUUCCUGGCGAGAAGUUCGUCCGCGGACAAUUCGCCGCGACACUACUGGAAACUACUUGCAAGGUUCGAGCGUUUGGGUAGCUGUAUUACAGUUUCCUGCCAUGCUAGUUUUUGCACCCGAAGUCGACGUCGUAGCAAAACCGUUCUUGCUUCAGAUUGUGUUCUGCACCCGAAGUCGACAUCGCAAGAGAACCAUUCUUGCAUCAGAUUGUGUUCUGCACCCGAAGUCGACAUCGUAGCAGAACCGUUCUUGCAUCAGAUUGGAUAUUGCACCUGAGUCUGAUAUCGUAGAAGGACCAUUCUUGCAUCAGAUUGUCCGUCAUGGUAGAAUGACCAUUCUUGCAUCAGAUUGGAUAUUGCACCUGAGUUUGACAUCGUCGGGUGACCAUUUUUACAUCAGAUUGUGUUCUGCACUCGAAGUCGACAUCGUAGCAGAACCAUUCUUGCAUCAGAUUGGAUAUUGCACCUGAGUCUGUCAUGGUAGAAGGACCAUUCUUGCAUCAGAUUGGAUAUUGCACCUGAGUCUGACAUCGUAGGAUGACCAUUCUUGCGUCAGAUUGUGUUCUGCAUCCGAAGUCCACAUCGUAGCGGAACCAUUCUUGCAUCAGAUUCUAAGUGUUCUACACCCGAUGUCGACAUCAUAGCACAACCAUUCUUGCAUCAGAUUGUGUUCUGCACCCGAUGUCGUCAUCGUAGCAGAACCAUUCUUGCAUCAGAUUGUAAGUAAUUAAUUUCUUUAUCAUUUUCAUACAUAACUUUUAUGAAUAACUUAUGAAUUAGCGAGAAAAAAAUUACUUUUUGUGUUUCAAAGCACUGAUUUUGCUUGUUUUUGGAGUUUAGCACAUGAACGCGUCAUCCGCGUAAUAUCAGCGAGGUCCCUAAAGAUGUAAAAUUUAAUUCUUCAAGGCGUAAUAUUCUAAUGUCGUCGGCGAUGUACCUGUAGAACGUGUAUUGUUAGAUAAAUUGUACGUUUCGUACGUUGUUAUGUCGAUAACUUGUAACUGUCAUUUAGUCAUUCUGAAUAGUUUUUGGAUUAUAUAUAACGUGGAUUGUGUUUUAUUAAUUUUCGUUCAGGUGAGUGAGAUAGAAAUACCAGGAUAAGGUGAUAGCAGGUGAGUUAGAAUAAGAGAGCAAUACUCAAGUUUCAUGUUCAAUCCAUGUUCUUUAUAUGAUCUGCCGAAUUUUCUACACUUCGUUUAUGCUGUCAGUUCGACCUUAGCUUGCGCAAAACGCUGUGCGCUGCCAUUUGAAAUUUGAACAGUACCGCACCGGUCGCCGUGUGUCGUCGGCUUCAAGUGACAAUUCGCUAUACUACUCAGUACAUCUUGCGCCGGCCUAUGCACCGGCAUUUGUGGUGUGUGCACGUGUUCUCUUUCUUCUCCGCCACUGUUCGUCGCAACUGUUAGGAUUAGUUUAGUCAUCCAUUGCUAUCAACUACUGAACAAGUGAUUUAUUUCGAAUCGACUCGAGACUUAAGACACCACGUGCGCGUGUGGGCGUACGGAUUCCAAUUGGAUUUAUAGGCCAAAAUGGUAUUGUUAAUUGCAAAAAUAAUCCAAAGAGAGCGUUGUGGCUCGAUGGUACGUAGGAUAUGCCUUGGAUCGUACAUACGUUCGUUUUAUUAAAAAAGAAAGAAGAAUGUAUUGUUAAAUACAAUUAAUAAAACUCAAUUUAAAAUUAAAA